rnacentral:lncRNA from 1 species
GUAAAGGCUACAGAGACAGUAAAACUAUCUCCUGAGCCCUCAUCAGGGGCCAGGCACCAGGAGAAGCAGAACAUGUGGGUUGGAAGCUCUGGCGUCAGUGUUCUCCCCAGACCCACCCACACCCCCAAACCCCAGCUCUGUCCCUCCUAAAGCAAGACUCAGGCUGGGCACAGCAGCACACACCUGUAAACCCAGAGGCUUGGGCGGCUGUGGCAGGAGGAUGGCGAGUUCAAAAACAGCCCCAGCAAUUAGCGAGGUGCUAAGCAACUGAAAUCUUGUCUCAAAAUAAAAAAUGAAAAGGGCUGGGGAUGUGGCUCAGAGGUUAAGCACCCCUGGGUUCAAUCCCUGGUACAAAAAAAAAAGGCUCUAAUACUUGUUGCAGAAGGCAGCUGCCAGGACAAGGUUCAGAGUGCCAGCCGAGUGCUUAGCCAAGGAGAAGCCUUCAUUGGGUCUGAGUUCACCAAAUGCUCACAGACCCAGGGGUGAGUAUGAGCAUGCGCGUGCUCAUGUUUAUUUGUUUCUUUGCUAUCUUCAUUGUACAGAGCAGGAAACUUAGGCUGUGGGGGGAUUAGUAAACAUCAGGUCCUCAGGGAGGUUAGGAUUCUCACCAGAUUCAUUUGUCCUUUAAGCCUAUGCUAUCCCACACAUUGUGAUCGGGAAGGAGAAAAGAAAGCAGUGCGGGUCUGUAUUUCCACAC